GACAUCCUACGAAAGUAGGCUUCCGCAAGGACACCUGUAGAGGUGCUGCAUGGCUGUCGUCAGCUCGUGUCGUGAGAUGUUGGGUUAAGUCCCGCAACGAGCGCAACCUUGUCUUCUGUUGCCAUCGGGUUAUGCCGGGCACUCUGAAGAGACUGCCGGUGACAAACCGGAGGAAGGUGGGGAUGACGUCAAGUCAGCAUGGCCUUUAUGUCUGGGGCCACACACGUGCUACAAUGGCCGGUACAAACCGUCGCGAUCUCGCGAGAGGGAGCUAAUCGGAGAAAGCCGGUCUCAGUUCGGAUUGUAGGCUGCAACUCGCCUGCAUGAAGUUGGAAUCGCUAGUAAUCGCGGAUCAGCACGCCGCGGUGAAUACGUUCCCGGGCCUUGUACACACCGCCCGUCACAUCACGAAAGCCGGCUGUACUAGAAGUCGCUGCGCUAACCCGCAAGGGGGGCAAGCGCCUAAGGUAUGGUCGGUGAUUGGGGUGAAGUCGUAACAAGGUAAGCGUAGUGCU
rnacentral:rRNA from 1 species